rnacentral:RNase_P_RNA from 1 species
GCGGGGGGCCGGACGACCGCGGCUGCGAGGUCGAGGAAAGUCCGGACUCCACGAAGCGACGGUGCCGGGUAACGCCCGGGCGGGGCAACCCGACGGACAGCGCCACAGAAAACAAACCACCCCCGUUCGCGGGGGCCAGGGUGAAACGGUGCGGUAAGAGCGCACCGGGGGGGCGGCAACGUUCCCCGCAUGGCAAGCCCCACCGGGAGCAAUGCCGAAUAGGGAUCCCGCGUCCAUGCCUUCGGGCCGGGCAAGGCGCUUCGCCCCAGGGGUCCGGGUUGGCAGCUUGAGGCCGCGAAGCGAUUCGCGGUCCAGAUGAAUGGUCGUCGAACCGGAGAGAUCCGGGGAACAAAAUCCGGCUUACAGGCCCCCCGCACGC